UCUCCAUGGUUCGCCACUGGUUCCUUGUGGCCAUCCUGGCCCCUGUGGGCCAGGCCCUUCAGCAAUCACCAGACACAGUUGUCCGAGUGGGAGACUCUGUGACUCUGAACUGUUCCCAACAGAGGAGUGCAUUCUCAACCAUGUACUGGUACAAGUUGCCCACGGGGAAGGAUGCCACUCUGCAGUUGGUUGUAUACUCAGUGGAAGGUGGCGUGGCAGAGAUUGAGAAGGAAUUCAGAAACCACUUCCAGAGUAAUGGGACUAAGGACAAACGCUUAUCUGUGGAGAUAGAUCAUGCCCUACUCAAUGACUCAGGCACAUAUUUCUGUGCUGAGAAACUUUUACCUGGUGAGAGACAACAGUUGAUUUUCGGCGAUGGCACAAAACUUACAGUAAUAGGGAAGAACGAUGAAAUCAUACCUCCAGCUGUGGCCAUCUUUUCCCCAUCAAAGCAAGAGAUCCAACAGAAGAGCAAGGCCACGCUGGUAUGCCUGGCCUCUGGUUUCUACCCUGACCACCUGAAUCUGGUCUGGAAGGUGAAUGGUGCUACGAGGACAGAAGGGGUGGGGACAGAUGAGUUUUCCACACAGAAUGGGAGUACCUACUCAUUGACCAGCCGACUGAGGAUCUCAGCCCAGGAAUGGUUCAAUCCUUUGAACCGUUUUGAGUGUGUUGCCAACUUUUUUAGGAAUGGAACACCAGAAUUGAUACAGAAAUUCAUCUACGGUGACGCUGAUUGUAGCGUCUUUAAAGAAAACUAUCAGAGAAGUGCUACAGCUCGGAAGUUUGUAUACAUCAUGCUUAUUUUCAAGAGCAUUUUGUACGAGAUGUUUGUGAUGGGGCUGAUGCCUAGGUCCAAGGAGAGGAACAGAGUUCUAGUCUGUACACAUUUGUCCUAA